GCCUUGCUCAUGAUUAUAAUUUAAUAGCUGCAGUAUUUUGACUGUACAAAGGUAGCAUAAUUAUUUGCCUUUUAAUUGAGGGCUGGUAUGAAUGGCUGGAUGAAAUAUAUGCUUUUUUUAUUUUUUUUUGAAAAAAUUAAUUUUUUAGUCAGAAAGCUAAAAUUUGUUUAAGGGACGAGAAGACCCUAUAGAACUUUAUUGUUUAAGUAUUAAAAUAAGGUAUAUUUGAUAGUUUUUAUUUUGAUACAGGAUAAUUGUGUUGGGGUGAUUGAAAAAAUUUAUUAACUUUUUUUUAUUUUAUUCAUAUAUAAAUGAAUGGUUGAUCCAAGGAAUUUUGAUUAUAAGAUUAAGUUACCUUAGGGAUAACAGCGUUAUUUUUCUUUAGAGUUCUUAUCGAAAGAAAAGUUUGCGACCUCGAUGUUGGAUUAAAAUUGGUUAUGGGUGGAGAGAUUUGUUAACUAAGUCUGUUCGACUUAUAAAUUUUU
rnacentral:rRNA from 1 species